rnacentral:rRNA from 1 species
AGCGAACGGCUGGCUGCAUGCUUAACACAUGCAAGUCGAACGAGAGGGAAACCUCUAGUGGCGAACGGGUGAGUAAUAUAUAGGAAUCUACCUAGUAGUGUGGAAUAAUUAUUGGAAACGAUAACUAAUACCGCAUAAUCCGGAGACGGGAAAGGUGCAAAUCGCUAUUAGAUGAGCCUAUAUCCGAUUAGCUAGUUGGUGGGGUAAAGGCCUACCAAGGCUGUGAUCGGUAGCCGGUCUGAGAGGAUGAUCGGCCACACUGGGACUGAGACACGGCCCAGACUCCUACGGGAGGCAGCAGUGGGGAAUUUUGGACAAUGGGCGAAAGCCUGAUCCAGCAAUGCCGCGUGCAGGACGAAGGCCUUCGGGUUGUAAACUGCUUUUGUACGGAACGAAAAGGUAGCUCCUAAUACGAGCUGCUGAUGACGGUACCGUAAGAAUAAGCACCGGCUAACUACGUG